rnacentral:tRNA from 1 species
GGAUCGUUGCCGGAGUCCGGCCUAUCGGCGCGCGUUGGAAACGCGAUGGGCUGCUCACGCAGCCGCGAAGGUUCAAAUCCUUCACGAUCCGCCA